rnacentral:rRNA from 1 species
UACGUAGGGUCCGAGCGUUGUCCGGAAUUACUGGGCGUAAAGAGCUCGUAGGUGGUUUGUCGCGUUGUUCGUGAAAACUCACAGCUCAACUGUGGGCGUGCGGGCGAUACGGGCAGACUGGAGUACUGCAGGGGAGACUGGAAUUCCCGGUGUAGUGGUGAAAUGCGUAGAUAUCGGGAGGAACACCAGUGGCGAAGGCGGUUAGCUGGCCUGUAACUGACACUGAGGCGCGAAGGCUAGGGGAGCGAACAGG